CCUACGUGGCCCCCAGGAAUGACUUCUAAUUUACGCAGCGUUUCUGUUUUGCUUCCUCUUCUUUUGUCUGUUUUAAUCUAUGCAGCGUAUCGGGCAAGGCGGAUUGAGUGUGAAAGGAGUUUGAAGUUUUUGGCGCAUUUAGAAACGUUCUUGGCCACUGGGCACGCGAGAAAGAGAUGGCAAACUUAUCCGGACAGAACAUUUAGCUUUGCGACGGCGUGACAAUUGGAUCAACACGAUGAAUACUUCAAUGAAGAUAGAGUAGGUCCCGUUUGUGGCAAGGAUAUAACAGGACCGGCCACACAGCUUUUGCUACGAGAUACAAAUAAAAUCGGAUAUUUUGCAACUACUGUGUUCUCACCCUUUCGAAGGUCAGUGUAGUUUUUUUUUUCAUAUUUGCAGUAUUUGUAGAAAUGGUGGAUUUCUCUUUCUUUUUAUGUGAAUCGGAGGAAGUAAGACACUUUCCCCUAAUUUUAUUCGGAAAAGAGUACUAUGUACAAAAGAGUGGAAGGGUGAUGAACAUCAAAACAAGGUAGAAGAUCUAGGACUGAAGAACAACAAACAUCAAGGCGGUCUCAUGGGCAGUGAAGAUAAAGCUGUCCACAGAUUUUGGUGCAAGUCAAUCAUCUUCUUGUGGUAUAAAUGUUCCCAACUUUGGCCGGAGAGGAGCCUUCCUUUACAAGAGGCCAUCAUCAAAUUAUAUUUUUUGAUCAGGGGCAGCCAACAAUGCUUUGGAAGCUUUUUAUCACACAAAGGAAGUCCCAAGUAGACAAAAGGAAGAGAGCCUUUCAUGCAGUUUAUCCAUCAAGCAAGCCUUGCUGCUUGCUCCUCCCCCAUAUUUAAGCACAGAAUAGAGCUCUUGUGAAAGUUAAUUCUCAAACCCGAAGCACCUUCAAAAGCUACAAAAAUCGCUUUGGCAGCAAGCAUACUUUCCUUCUUUCCAGCACAGAAAAA